rnacentral:ncRNA from 1 species
ACCCCUGUGAAAACACCCCUCUUAUUUCUUUACAGAAAAGGAAGGAGCAGGUAUCAGGCUCAUCUAUGAUAGCCCAAAACAUCUCGCUUAGCCACACCCCCAAGGGUUUUCAGCAGUGAUAAACAUUAAGCCAUAAGUGAAAACUUGACUUAAUUAAAGCCUUUAGGGCCGGUAAAAUUCGUGCCAGCAACCGCGGUUAUACGAAAGGCCCAAGUAGACAAUUUUCGGCGUAAAGAGUGGUUUAUUUAACUUAUACUAAAGCCGAACACCCUCAAGACUGUCAUACGUGUUCGAGAACAUGUAAGCCCGCUCACGAAAGUGGCUUUAUAAAAUAACACCACCAAAGCUGAGACACAAACUGGGAUUAGAUACCCCACUAUGCUCAGCUGUAAACCUAGGUAACCCCCCCCCCAACCUUCGUUACCCGCCAGAGAACUACGAGCAUAAGCUUGAAACCCAAAGGACUUGGCGGUGCUUUAGACCCACCUAGAGGAGCCUGUUCUAGAACCGAUAACCCCCGUUGAACCUCACCCUCAUUUGUUUCUUCAGCCUAUAUACCGCCGUCGUCAGUUCACCCUAUGAGGGAUAAAUAGUGAGCUCAAUUAGCAUAACCCAAAACGUCAGGUCGAGGUGUAGCAUAUGUGAGGGGAUUAAAUGGGCUACAUUUUCUGUCAGCAGAACAUACGAAAAGUGUACUGAAAUUUACGCUAGAAGGAGGAUUUAGCAGUAAGUGAGAAAUAUGAGAGUCUCACUGAAACUGGCUCUAAAGCGCGCACACACCGCCCGUCACUCUCCCCAAAAACCAAUUAAACUCCCUAAUCAAAAUAAAAGACAAAGGGGAGGCAAGUCGUAACAUGGUAAGUGUACCGGAAGGUGUACUUGGAAAAAU